rfam:Cordyceps militaris CM01 unplaced genomic scaffold CCM_S00002, whole genome shotgun sequence.
ACAUACGGCCAUAGACAGUAGAAAAUAUCGCGUCCCGUUUGCUCCGCAGAAAUCAAGCUAUUGAUCGGCAGAUUAGUAGUUGGGUCGGUGACGACCAGCGAACACCGGCUGCUGUAUGUU